ACAAUGAUUUCCCUAGUAACGGCGAGUGAAGAGGAAAGAGCUCAAAGUUGGAAUCCGGUUGCCCUAGGUAAUUGGAAUUGUAAACUGGAGAGGUGUUUUCCAGGCGAGCCAAGCAAAUAAGUCCUUUGGAACAGGGCAUCAUAGAGGGUGAGAAUCCCGUCUUUGGCUUGAGCAUUGCCUUUUGCGAUACACUUUCAAAGAGUCAGGUUGUUUGGGAAUGCAGCCUAAAUUGGGUGGUAAAUCUCACCUAAAGCUAAAUAUUGGCGAGAGACCGAUAGCGAACAAGUACCGUGAGGGAAAGAUGAAAAGAACUUUGAAAAGAGAGUUAAACAGUAUGUGAAAUUGUUGAAAGGGAACCGUUUGGAGCCAGACCGGCUGCUCUAUAAUCAAUCUCUGCUUCGGUAGGGAUGCACUUGUAGGGCUUUAGCCUGCCAACAGCAAUUUUCUUUGGUGGAAAAAACUAGAAGGAAUGUGGCCCCUCGGGGUGUUAUAGCCUUUUAGAAAAUACACUGAAGGGGAUUGAGGACUGCAGCAAAUGCUUUUGGCGAAAUAACUAGGUGCUUGUGUUAAGGACGUAUAGAAUCUCUGCUUCGGGUGGUGCUAUGCUCUGCGAUGCAACUCGCUUAGACUAUUUUCUAUUUGCUUAGGUUGUUGGCUUAAUGACUCUAAAUGAC
rnacentral:rRNA from 2 species